rnacentral:rRNA from 1 species
GAUGAACGCUAGCGGCAGGCCUAACACAUGCAAGUCGAGGGAGGAGCUUUCGGGCUUCGACCGGCGUACGGGUGCGUAACGCGUAUACAAUCUGCCUUUCACAUAGGGAUAGCCCGAAGGAAUUUGGAUUAAUACCUAAUGGUAUAUAGGAGUGGCAUCACAUUUAUAUUAAAGCUGAGGCGGUGAAAGAUGAGUAUGCGUUCUAUUAGCUAGUUGGAGAGGUAACGGCUCCCCAAGGCGACGAUAGAUAGGGGUUCUGAGAGGGAUAUCCCCCACACUGGUACUGAGAUACGGACCAGACUCCUACGGGAGGCAGCAGUGAGGAAUAUUGGACAAUGGUCGGAAGACUGAUCCAGCCAUGCCGCGUGCAGGAAGACGGCCUUAUGGGUUGUAAACUGCUUUUGCAGGGGAAGAAUAAGGACUACGAGUAGUUUGAUGACGGUACUCUGCGAAUAAGCAUCGGCUAACUCCGUG